GAGGGUCUAGCUCAGUGGUAGAGUGUGUGCUUAGCAUGCACAAGGUCCUGGGUUCAAUCCCCAGUCCCUCC
rnacentral:tRNA from 1 species